rnacentral:antisense_RNA from 1 species
GCCCUCCUGACCGCCGCGGCUGGAGGUUCCAUUGCAGACCCGGAGGCCGUGGCUGUGGUUCGCGGCGGUGCUGUCGCGGGCGACCUGGCGCAGCCCACGCAGGGGCUCCUGAGGGUCCGCGACGCCGGGAGGUCCGGGGGUCGGGAGGUCCCGGGGUCGGAAAGUCGGUGGACCCUGCAGGCCAGUGGGGAGGAGAGACAUAAGACAUCAGUCAGCACAUGUGAGGUGUGCAUUUGAUUGAUCCAGAAAGUCAGGAUGACUCCAAGCGGAAAGGCCUCCAGAAACAGGAGACAGUAAAAGAAAUGGCCUCUCUCCUCCGUCAGAGUGGAAUCCCGAGCUCCCAGAAAUGCCAGGUGAUGGACAAACGCUUGGGGAAAAAAAA